rnacentral:rRNA from 1 species
ACGCUGGCGGCAGGCCUAACACAUGCAAGUCGAGCGGUAGAGAGAAGCUUGCUUCUCUUGAGAGCGGCGGACGGGUGAGUAAUGCCUAGGAAUCUGCCUGGUAGUGGGGGAUAACGUUCGGAAACGGACGCUAAUACCGCAUACGUCCUACGGGAGAAAGCAGGGGACCUUCGGGCCUUGCGCUAUCAGAUGAGCCUAGGUCGGAUUAGCUAGUUGGUGGGGUAAUGGCUCACCAAGGCGACGAUCCGUAACUGGUCUGAGAGGAUGAUCAGUCACACUGGAACUGAGACACGGUCCAGACUCCUACGGGAGGCAGCAGUGGGGAAUAUUGGACAAUGGGCGAAAGCCUGAUCCAGCCAUGCCGCGUGUGUGAAGAAGGUCUUCGGAUUGUAAAGCACUUUAAGUUGGGAGGAAGGGCAGUUGCCUAAUACGUAACUGUUUUGACGUUACCGACAGAAUAAGCACCGGCUAACUCUGUGCCAGCAGCCGCGGUAAUACAGAGGGUGCAAGCGUUAAUCGGAAUUACUGGGCGUAAAGCGCGCGUAGGUGGUUUGUCAAGUUGGAUGUGAAAUCCCCGGGCUCAACCUGGGAACUGCAUUCAAAACUGACUGACUAGAGUAUGGUAGAGGGUGGUGGAAUUUCCUGUGUAGCGGUGAAAUGCGUAGAUAUAGGAAGGAACACCAGUGGCGAAGGCGACCACCUGGACUGAUACUGACACUGAGGUGCGAAAGCGUGGGGAGCAAAC